rnacentral:rRNA from 1 species
GACGAACGCUGGCGGCAGGCCUAACACAUGCAAGUCGAACGAGUGGCGGACGGGUGAGUAAUGUCUGGGAAACUGCCCGAUGGAGGGGGAUAACUACUGGAAACGGUAGCUAAUACCGCAUACCAUCGGAUGUGCCCAGAUGGGAUUAGCUAGUAGGUGGGGUAACGGCUCACCUAGGCGACGAUCCCUAGCUGGUCUGAGAGGAUGACCAGCCGCACUGGAACCGAGACACGGUCCAGACGCCUACGGGAGGCAGCAGUGGGGAAGAUUGCACAAUGGGCGGAAGCCUGAUGCAGCGACGCCGCGUGGGGGAUGACGGCCUUCGGGUGGUAAACUCCGUUCUACAGGGACGCGGUACCUGUAUAAGAAGCACCGGCUAACUACGUGCCAGCAGCCGCGGUAAUUC